rnacentral:lncRNA from 1 species
UUUAAUUCAGUUUUGACCAAUUCUGUUUGACACUUUAUUUCUUUGUCCAUUUCAUCUUCAUCUCAUUUCUUUUUAUUUUGGCCAAUGAGUUAAUGUCUUAUGGUUGGUCUUGACAUAUAAGAGGCUUAACAUUCUUUGAUCCAAAUCAAACUCAACUUGAUCCAUGAUCAAGUGAGUUGCUUUGUGUCCAAGAUAGGUUGCUUCUUGGUCAAGCAAAAAAAACC